rnacentral:rRNA from 1 species
AUUGAACGCUGGCGGCAGGCCUAAUACAUGCAAGUCGAGCGGGCGGCGGACGGGUGAGUAAUGUAUGGGGACUGCCCGCUAGAGGGGGAUAACUACUGGAAACGGUGGCUAAUACCGCAUCCUAUCGGAGUACACUUAUGGGAUUAGCUAGUCGGUGGGGUAAAGACUCACCUUGGCGAAGAUGUCUAGCUGGUCUGAGCGGAUGAUCAGCAACACUGGGAAUGGGACACGGCCCAUCCUCCUACGGAGGCAGCAGUGGGGAAUAUUCCAGAAUGGGCGCAAGGCUGAUGCAGCCAUGCGGCGUGUAUGAAGAAGGCCUUCGGGUUGUAAAGUACUUUAAGUGGGGAGGCGUUACCCGCAGAAGAAGCACCGGCUAACUCCGUGCCAGCAGCCGCGGUAAUUC